AGCGCGGGCCGUGACUGGCGCUGAGGUGGGCUACCACCGGGGAGCGGCCCGGCGGGUUUCAGCACCGCCCUGCCGCGCGCCUGGGCGAUCACU
rnacentral:ncRNA from 2 species